CCAGCAGCCGCGGUAAUUCCAGCUCCAAUAGCGUAUAUUUAAGUUGUUGCAGUUAAAAAGCUCGUAGUUGGAUUUCGGAUGGGAUUUGCCGGUCCGCCUUUGAGGUGUGCACUGGUAGGUCCUAUCUUGUUGUCGGGGACUAGCUCCUGGGCUUCACUGUCCGGGACUAGGAGCCGACGAAGUUACUUUGAGUAAAUUAGAGUGUUCAAAGCAAGCCUACGCUCUGAAUAUAUUAGCAUGGAAUAACACGAUAGGACUCUGGCUUAUCUUGUUGGUCUGUGAGACCAGAGUAAUGAUUAAGAGGGACAGUCGGGGACAUUCGUAUUUCAUUGUCAGAGGUGAAAUUCUUGGAUUUAUGAAAGACGAACUUCUGCGAAAGCAUUUGUCAAGGAUGUUUUCAUUAAUCAAGAACGAAAG
rnacentral:rRNA from 1 species